GACUAUGGCCAUACCACCCUGAACGCGCCCGGUCUCGUCUGAUCUCAGAAGUUAAGUAGGGUUGGGCCUGGUUAGUACUUGGAUGGGAAAAAUUCAUCACUACCCAAUCUACAUACCCAGAACAGUGCCACAGGUA
ensembl:rRNA 5S_rRNA 5S ribosomal RNA